UACGUAGGGUGCAAGCGUUGUCCGGAUUUAUUGGGUUUAAAGGGUGCGUAGGCGGCUGAUUAAGUCAGCGGUGAAAUUCCACAGCUCAACUGUGGAACUGCCAUUGAUACUGGUUAGCUUGAGUACAGAUGAGGUAGGCGGAAUUGACAGUGUAGCGGUGAAAUGCUUAGAUAUUGUCAAGAACACCUAUUGCGAAGGCAGCUUACUAAGCUGUAACUGACGCUGAGGCACGAAAGCGUGGGGAUCAAACAGG
rnacentral:rRNA from 1 species